CUUAAGUUGGCUCCCUUUACUAGAUAUCUUUAUUUUUAUCGCUACAAACAUGCUACGGACAAACGACGAACAGACAAUUAAAAAAAAAUAAUCGAAAAUCAAAAAAAGAGGGGCCAAAUUCAGUGAGCCAUUGUUGAGUCAUGACGUCAUGAUAAACUUAAUCAAUGUGUAAUAGACAAUAUUUUCUAAAUGAAAACAGAUUGCACACAAGAAUGAUCGAAUGUUAGCGAUUUUUUUAAUUAUCGAUAUUAUGUUUUGAAAUCAUCGAUUAACAUGCCCAAUCGAAAUAGUCAAUCCGCAAAUUAGCAACAAUCAAACUUAUUUGAUAACGAAUGUGAUUGUUGUACGUUUACGCUUGUAACAAUUGUAUAUUACCUACGGUGUUACAUGGUAAUUAGGUGCAGUGAAAGUGAAAUUAAUUAAAAAUAAUGAACUUUUAAUAUCAAACAUUAUUGUUUUCGGUUCAAUUGAGAAGAUGGCUACCGUAUUUGAUAGCCCGUUUAUACGACAACGUUUACAUCGACUUCGACAUCGUGAUUAUGAUUUCGACGAAGACCAGAGAUUUGGAAGAUGUGAUUGCACUAGCUAUUCCUAUUUCGUACUUUCCAUGGUUUUGUUUUCCGUGGGUACAGUAAUAACUGUAUUAGCUUUGGGUGACGGUGAUGGAUACAUUCUCAACAAUUUGGGACACAUGUGGCUUGUAGGUCCGAUUUUUAUAUGUUCGGGAAUGAUGGUUGCUGUUAAAAGUAUGUUGUAUUUACGAAGAAAAAGUGUUAUUCAAAUGCUUUUACAUCAGAGAGCUAUUAUACGGGAUAUGGCUGCAGUCCAGGCUGAACAGGCAUAUAGUGGACAUAUGCCUCGAACAGCUUCAAGUGUUACUCUUCCCCCUUCUUAUGAUGCUCUGAUUUCUGGUGCUGCCACAAGCAAACCACAGCCAUCUAGCUCCGAGCCUCCACCUCCAACAUAUGAUGAAGCUAUGUAUCUUAUAGGUGAUGAGAAAAUGAGAAUCGAAGGUAAAAAUGACGAAAAUCCCAAACAGGAAACAAGUAAUCAGUCUGAUUCAGAUAGUAAACCAUGAAAGGAAAAUCAAAAGGGAUAUACUGAAUUAGUUCUGUAAGGAAAACAUAACUCUUCCUUUUGUACUUAUUAAUAUUAGAUGCUUAGUUACUUUGGUAAAGUAUUCUCGAAUGUGCCUAAAAUAUAAAUUUCUUAGUUAUUAUAUUGUAUGUAAAAGGUUACAUUUACUUAAUACCCUUAAGAUAUGUAUACUUUUAAACUUGUAAAAAAAUUAUACUAACUAGCAUUUGCUUGGAACUGAAUACCACAAAGCUAUUAUAUACUUGUUUUUAUUUAUUUAUUAGCUGUCAGAGAAAAGGUAGAAAUAUAUAAAUAACAAAUAAUAUUAUAUAUUAUUGUGCCUGUAUGAUGCACAUUGAUUUUAAUUUAACAUCUGUACAUGACAGAUUUUUGAAGCAGAUUGCUAUGACAUAAUGUUGACUUAAAUAAUGUUAUUAAUAGAUAAUAUAAAGCAUUUCCGCAUUUUAAUGUUAUAUAAAUGUUAAAAAAACCUGUUUAUUUGAUGGCUAAAAUGUUGCUAUCAAAAAUUAUCAAAAUGGUAAAUUGAUUUAUUCAUCAAAUAUGAUGUCAAUUCAGCCUGUAAUAUUUCGAUCAGAAGUCAAGAUAGCAUGGACCACUCCCAGUGUUAUAUAAGAUCAUAGUUGUCACUCAAUUAUAUAUAUAACAUAGUGACUGCCAAUUACAAGAUAACUCAUAGGUUGUUUACCUGCCCAGGUCACCAGCUCACUAUGCUACCUUGCUGCUCGUUUAGAGAUCAAUUUUAUACAGCUAUGACAAAGGUCAUAGAAUAAUAGUGUAGAUAUAAAUAGUUGGACUCUGGGAGGAGAAGAAAAAUCAGGGUUGGCCUAAAUGAACAGAAAAUUUAUUAAGACAUGAACAAAAUAUGUACUUGAUUAAUAUGUACUAUAAUUAACGUUUUUAAUAAUAUAAUAUGAUUAAAUUAAUUAAAUUAGCUUCUGGGACCGGAAUCCUUGAAAGUGCUGUGGCAGUCAACUUGUUAAACUAGUUUUGUAAUAAUGAAAACUAUUGCAUUUAAUGACUUUUUGAAUGAAUGAUUUUAUUUUGUCAAAAAUUAAAUUAUGUAUAUCGGCGCAACUCUGCUAUUUAGAUAACUAAGAUGGUUGGAGUUAACCGUUUCGUCAAUGUUAAAAUUGUUGGAUAACUGUUAAGUCCAAUGCAUGUCAACAAUUGUGUAAGACGGUAUUCAGGAAAAACUAUCUUAAAUUUAACUAAACCACGUUUUAUUAUAAAUACGAGUUACUUUUGUUGCACAACACAUUCCGGAUCAAGCACUCGAACGGAGCGGACCUCUGUGUGCUUAGUGCGAUUUUUUUAACGUUCUCGAUAGCGUAAAAGUUAGCUCAUAUUUGUAUGGAAUGGGAUCGUUUGCCUAUGUUUGCUGUUAGGGGCGCUGUUCCAACUGCAUACAAAAUUGGGUUACCUUUUACGCUAUCGAGAACGUUAAAAAACUCGCACUAAGUACACUGAUGGCGUCAGUCUCUCCGUCAUGUAUUAUGUAUUUCAUCGUCAUGUAUUUAUGAAUCCAAUCUUUGUUUGAAACUAUUAUUUUCCAAUUAGUCUAAAUAUCAGAUUUUCAAUUGUAUUAAGUAAUAACAGUUAACAAUUGUAAUUAACUACAUACUUCAUUGGAAACUGAAUUGCAGUCUGUAACAAUUAUUAAAAUUAUUUUUACGGCUAGUUGCACUUAACAUGAGAUUUUUAUGGUCACAAACUACAAAUGAGGUUACGAAUCGCCUGGAUUCCUAAAAUAUUAGGUUUCUAGCGAAAUUGCUAUUUAGAAUACAGAAAAUUAGUGAUUUUUCGAUAGAUUUUUUUUAUUACUCGAAAUAUGCACCCAUGGCAUUGGUGUAUCUGUGCCUGUGAUUCUUCAACUUUUUUUGCUGAAUGAAAGGAUUGCUGGUGGCCCGGCGGCCGCUCCAAUUUCACCAGGACAGGUGGGCGAGCAAAGGCUCAGCCAGGAGGGGUGGGAUUUGCUAACAGCUGCCCGAGUGCCGCCAAAGGAGACUUGUUAACUCAUGGGUAGCUGCUUCGCGAAUGAAUCUACUACCGGAUCGGAAUCGUGACUCACUGAUCCGCCGUGUAGCUCAGCGGGCUGAUGCAUGGGUUCGGUUGCACUAGUACGGUUACCGGGGUCCCUAAGUCUGCUUCUAGUGUUAGAGCUGAAGGCUUCUAGUGUUAGAGCUGAAGGCGUCUAGUGCAAGGGCUAUUGGAUCUGAUGGAUCCGUAAGGAUGUGUCUAGAGCGUCGACUGGCUCCUGCAUGAUCAGAAUUCGAGGAAUAGUCAGCGACCGCAACGAUAAGGCUAUUAUCAUGACGCAUAGCCUUAUCGACGUAACGUUCCGACGCUGACUUUGUGUUUUCGGAUCUAUUCGAAGCUCAGGUCGUGUAAGUCGACGUUCCUCACGAACCACGUUGCUCCGACGGCUAACCUGCAAAAACGAGACUGUAGAGAUUGGAGGGUGUCUAUGUGUGUGUUUGGCCACUUGAGCGAUCGCCACACUCGCGCAAGUAAUGACAGGCCUUAUGCAAGUUUUGUAAAGUGUCACCUUGUUCUGAAGAGACAUUUUGUUCUUGUUCAUUUUGCACUUGUGUAGUAAACGGUUGCCGUCGGUGAAUAAGGCUAACUGUGUCGGCGGCGACCGAGGAAUUUCGUUAAUUUGCGCGGAAUCCCAAUUGUUCGUCGAUGAGAAUGCCCUUGGACAAACUCUUCAAAUAUAUUUUGUACUGCGUCUCGGGUAUUACAUUUUUUCCCUGAGAAGAAGCUAUCCAAACUUUGGAAAAAGUAGAAGUCUUUCGGCGUGAGAUGGUUGGUGACGCAAAACUUCCAACCCUAGCACUUGUAGCUUAGAAACUGUCUGUUGUGCUGCAUGACGUCAAUCGUUGUCGUUUAGGAGUAGCGGGGAUGAGCGAUUAGCCAUGGCUAGCCGGAUCCAUCAUUGUGUCCAGUUUCUCCCAGUACACGUUCUGUUAUACACCAGUACACCAGUAAUGCUGGUGUCGUUUGGUAAGAAGCUGUCAUGAAUUAUACCAAACAUGAUCCACGACUUUUUAGGGAUAAGUUUCCGAUUGGGGCAUUCCCUAGAUGCUGAAAAAAAAUGAAGACCGCUUGCGAUUGUCAAAAAGAAAACAUUUUUCGCCCUCAAUGACAAUGCCGUUCAAAAUGGCUUUGUUACUGUGAUUGUCGCGCUGGCGAUCGUUCAUUUUGUGCUAUUCCCACUUUUAUUUUUAUUUUGCCUUGCCAAUUUGACGCAAUUUCACUAAAAUUGUUUUGAUGCCAACGUUGAAAGCUUCUGAAGGUUGCAGUGUUCACACCGUACACAUUAUUUAUGUUGCGAUCGUUUGUGCGGUAUUGCUACCACGACGAUGCUCGUAUUCCAUAAUAACUAAUAAACAACUAGUUGAAUUUGAACAUACAAUUCCAUAUUUUUAAUGCAAAUUUAAUUUUAAAUCAGAAUUUAUUGCCAGCCGUAUGUAUAUAAAUUACGUUUCAAAUGACUAGUAUUGUAAAACGGAAACUUCAUAGGUAAAGACCUAUUAUAUAAAAUAACCGCAUGAUUAAGCCGUAAAAAUAUUUUUAAUGGUAUGUAUGAACGACUUGCAAAAUACCGUAAUGAAUAGUAGUAGUAAUAGUUCUAAACAUUACUCAUGCACUUUACUUCCAGUUUAUAUUUUUGUGAUCAAAUUUUAAUAGUGUUCAGUUAUUAAACCCGUAUUAUAAUAUUGUCACAAUAAAUUGCAAUUAAUGUUAUUUAUAUUGAAUAAGAAAAAAUAAGUACUUUGGUAAUUUGUCGUCGUCUAUUACUUUUUUGAAAACAUAAUAAUACAGAUACGUGUUCAAUUUUAUGGUGCUAAAACACUUACAGCUUAGCUAACGAAAUAGUAAUAAAAUGCCUUUUUAAUUGUAAGUUAGGUAAAAUUAUUGCUAUAAAUAAAGUACUUAGUAUACCUACAGUAGUAGGUACUGUUAUGUGGUUAUAUAUUUAUGAACCUACACAAUAUUCAUGGUGUGACAUGAGGAAAAACUUUCAAAAUUGUACUUAUAUUUGAAGCCAAAUGUAGCGUAUUCUGCGCAAAAUUGCAUUGUAUUGAAGGUCAUAGUGAUAAGUUUAUUUAUUAUUUACGUUAUACUCGUGCGAAUGCUCUAAGGACAGCCGUCCGCUUAUUCCUACGCUCCGCAAUCUGCAUGCGCGAUACGCCGGGAGUGGACUCUGACUAAAGCAAAAUUAGCAAAAGUGCAUGGAUAACAUAGGAAAAUUAUCGCAUGAAUCCAUAACGCCAUCUGUGAUCUAUAGUAAAUAUAUGUAGAUGGCAUUUUGCUACUUUAAAAAAUGUUAAUGAGUAAUUUCAUCAGUUAAGGGUGUCACACAUGGCGUAGACACUAUAAUAUUUUAUCUUAACAAACAAUAUCGCUCGCUAUAGAUUUUGUGUGAACUAUCACACAUGGUUAUAAUAGUAUAUAUUUUCAUAAUAUUAUAGUAUCUUCGCCGUGUGUGACGCCCUUUACAGUUGUUUUAAAGACCAACUGUACAAACAUUAGUUAUUAACAAUUUUAUAGCAAGGUUCAAACUCAACACUCCUAAAAAAGCUUGUUUUCAAAAGCCACUCGACCAUCAUAAUCAAACAUUAUUAUUUUUCGAAACAGAUCACUAAAGAUUGUUUUCAACUAGUAUUAUAAUAGUAAGCAUUGUGUAGAUAUUUUAUGAUUUAGAAGUGAAAUAAUUGGAUGCAGUUAACCAAUUUUACUGCUUGGAUUGAAAUGGUAGUUCGGAAAAAAACAAUUAGAUUUUAGCCGGGCGUUACCUAAGUCGCAUGUAGUGAAUAAAAUCAAUGUCAUCUAGCUUAAUUUAGAUCUGUUUUCAUAGGACUAUAGAACUUCGAUAUCCAUGCAAUUCUGCAGCUGAUCGUACCAAAAAUAAUACAUUAAUUAUUUUUGUUCUUUAUUUGAUUAUUAUACUUAUUUAGACGUGUGAAUAUUGUUGCCUUAUGUAUCGAAUAGUGGAAUAUUGUUCUUCAGUAUGGUUUUAGCACAUUCAGUGGUCCAACGUAUUUGGUAUAACGGUUAAGUCGUAAUUAUAUAAUGGCUUUUAAAUGAAUAACUGUUAAAGGGAAGCAGAUUGUAAAAAAUGUAUUAUUUUUAUGAUACCAAAGGAGUAAGGAGCAAAUUUUUUUUAACGGCGUACAUAUUGUUAUAUUAUACCGUUUUAUAUGUUAAAAAUACUUCAAAUCAAUAUACAUAGUUAGUAUAGAUCUGUUAAUGUACUUGAAUGUGAUUGUAAGUUUAGUUAUGAUUUAUUUUAUCUAUAGAUCUCCCUUGAUUAAUUAUACACUAUUUUGAGUUACAGAA